rnacentral:rRNA from 1 species
GGCGUAGGCGGCCUGUCAAGUCGGAUGUGAAAUCUCCCGGCUUAACUGGGAGGGUGCAUUCGAAACUGAUGGGCUAGAGUGCAGCAGAGGGAGGUGGAAUUCCCGGUGUAGUGGUGAAAUGCGUAGAUAUCGGGAAGAACACUAGUGGCGAAGGCGGCCUCCUGGGCUGUAACUGACGCUGAGGUCCGAAGGCGUGGGGAGCAAACAGGAUUAGAUACCCUGGUAGUCCACGCAGUAAACGAUGGAUACUAGGUAUGGGGAGUAUCGACCCUCUCUGUGCCGAAGCUAACGCUUUAAGUAUCCCGCCUGGGGAGUACGGUCGCGAGACUAAA